UGACCUGUGGGGACAGCCCGAGGCAAGUGGCGAGGAGGGCCGGGUCCUGCGCGGCGCGGGCUUAUGAACCCCGUCAGGUCCGGAAGGAAGCAGCGGUAAGUAAGUGACCGCGGGUGCCGCAGGAGUGCCUAGCCGGAGUUAACUGCCCCGGUAGCGCCCGGAGGCCCAGGACAAGGGUGGGUGCACGG
rnacentral:SRP_RNA from 1 species